GACGAACGCUGGCGGCGUGCUUAACACAUGCAAGUCGAACGGAAAGGCCCUGCUUGCAGGGUGCUCGAGUGGCGAACGGGUGAGUAACACGUGGGUGAUCUGCCCCUUACUUUGGGAUAAGCCUGGGAAACUGGGUCUAAUACUGGAUAGGACCAUGCUGUAGGGGGUGUGGUGGAAAGAUUAGUUUCGGUAUGGGGUGAGCGCGCGGCCUCUCAGCUUGUUGGUGGGGUAAUGGCCUAUAAAGGGGUCGACGGGUAGCGGGCCUGAGAGGGUGGACGGGGACAUUGGGACUGAGAGACGGCGCAGACUCCCACGGGAGGCAGAAGUGGGGAGUAUAGCACAAUAGGGGCAAGCGCGAUGCAGCGAGGCGGCGUGGGGGAGGACGGGGCCCGGGGUGUAUACUCCCCUCAGGCAUGACGAAGAGCUUGUGGUGACGGUAGUGGUAUAAGAAGCACCGGCUAACUACGUG
rnacentral:rRNA from 1 species